UUAGAGGAAGUAAAAGUCGUAACAAGGUUUCCGUAGGUGAACCUGCGGAAGGAUCAUUACCGAACCGUCGACACGAGUUGUUGCUGGUCCCUGAAAAGGGGCACGUGCACGCUCUGUUUGCACAUCCACUCACACCUGUGCACCCUCUGUAGUUCUGUGGCCUCGGGGACUCUGUCCCUCUGGUCGUGGUCCUACGUCUUUACACACACACCGUAACAAAGUCUCAUGGGAUGUACGUCGCGUUCAACGCAAUACAAUACAACUUUCAGCAACGGAUCUCUUGGCUCUCGCAUCGAUGAAGAACGCAGCGAAAUGCGAUAAGUAAUGUGAAUUGCAGAAUUCAGUGAAUCAUCGAAUCUUUGAACGCACCUUGCGCCCUUUGGCUAUUCUGAAGGGCAUGCCUGUUUGAGUAUCGUGAACACCUCAACUCUCGUGGCCCGCCACGAUGAGCUUGGACCUUGGGGGUCUUGCCGGCGUACCGUCGGCUCCUCUCAAACCGAUCAGCUUGCCAGUGUUUGGUGGCAUCACGGGUGUGAUAAACAUCUACGCUUGUGGUUUUCCACCAAGCAACCUCCAGCGAUGGAGGUUCGCUGGGGCUCACAAACGUCUCUCCCGAGCGAGGACAGCUUUUUGAACGUUUGAUCUCAAAUCAGGUAGGACUACCCGCUGAACUUAAGCAUAUCAAUA
rnacentral:rRNA from 1 species